AGCUUUGAACAGUGGCAGUAUCAUAGCCAAUGAGGUUUAUCUGAGGCAUGAUUAUUGCUAAUUGAAAAAAAAAGCCAAUUAGAUCCUCAAAUUUACUCAAUUGAAUUGUGUUCUUUAACGGGUUGCUGGCACUGUUUCCAGU
rnacentral:snRNA from 1 species